GACGAACGCUGGCGGCGUGCUUAACACAUGCAAGUCGAACGGAAAGGCCCUGCUUUUGUGGGGUUCUCGAUUGGCGAACGGGUGAGUAACACGUGAGUAACCUGCCCUUGACUUUGGGAUAACUUCAGGAAACUGGGGCUAAUACCGGAUAGGAGCUCCUGCUGCAUGGUGGGGGUUGGAAAGUUUCGGCGUUUGGGGAUGGACUCGCUGGUUAUCAGCUUGUUGGUGGGGUAGUGGCUUACGAAGCCUGUGACGGGUAGGCCGCAUGGGAGCGUGACCAGCGACAUUGGGCCUAAGAUAGGGAGCAGAAUCGAACGGGAGGCAGCAGUGGGGAACAUUGCACAACGGGGGGAAGCCUGAUGCAGAGACGCCGCGUGCGGGAUGACGGCUUUCGGGUUGUAAACAGAUUUCGAAUGAGACGAAGACUGAGUGACGGUAAUGGGUAAAAAAGCAACGGCUAACUACGUG
rnacentral:rRNA from 1 species